rnacentral:lncRNA from 1 species
UUCCGACCCUGACUCAGGCGUGGCAGACUUGGAUCCCCACGGCGUAACCACGAAGGUAGUAUUUUUCCCAUUGGUUCAAUAUAAAAGCAGUAAAAAACAACAAAAAUAAAUAAUGAAUAAUCAAAGAUGCGAUUCACCUCUUUCGAUUUUAUUUCACUGUUUUUCUUUCAAUUUUUAGUAUUCUCCUCCCUUAUAUCUUUUUUACAAUCGGUUUAUAUAACCGAAAUAAAACAUCAAAAUAUCAAAAAAAAUCAAAAGAAUUCUUAUUUUCUCGUUAUUGUUGCGAUGAAUACUGAUGUUGGAUCCGCUUUUCUCGCAGGUACGACGAUCAUUGAGGAGCGAUUUGUGCGGAGUGGGUGAGCUGCGGCGGCUGGAGAGGGGAGGCUGCUAGGGUUUCUGUUUUUUUGUUUUUUGGGCUAGGUUUAGUUUGGGUCAAGUGUUGGGCCAUUCUAGGUUUAGUUGGGCCCGGGCAUUAUUGGGUUUGUACAGCUGCCCCUCUUUGCUCAUUGUCGUGUAAC